UACGGGGGGGGCAAGCGUUGUUCGGAAUUACUGGGCGUAAAGGGCGCGUAGGCGGCCUGCUAAGUCGAACGUGAAAUCCCCGGGCUCAACCCGGGAACUGCGUCCGAUACUGGCAGGCUUGAAUUCGGGAGAGGGAUGCGGAAUUCCAGGUGUAGCGGUGAAGUGCGUAGAUAUCUGGAGGAACACCGGUGGCGAAGGCGGCAUCCUGGACCGAAAUUGACGCUGAGGCGCGAAAGCCAGGGGAGCAAACGGG
rnacentral:rRNA from 1 species